rnacentral:rRNA from 1 species
UACGUAGGGGGCUAGCGUUGUCCGGAAUCAUUGGGCGUAAAGCGCGUGUAGGCGGCCCGGUAAGUCCGCUGUGAAAGUCGGGGGCUCAACCCUCGAAUGCCGGUGGAUACUGUCGGGCUAGAGUGCGGAAGAGGCGAGUGGAAUUCCUGGUGUAGCGGUGAAAUGCGCAGAUAUCAGGAGGAACACCGAUUGCGAAGGCAGCUCGCUGGGACGUAACUGACGCUGGAGACGCGAAAGCGUGGGGAGCAAACAGG